GACGAACGCUGGCGGCGUGCUUAACACAUGCAAGUCGAACGGAAAGGCCCUGCUUUUGUGGGGUGCUCGAGUGGCGAACGGGUGAGUAACACGUGAGUAGCCUGCCCUUGACUUUGGGAUAACUUCAGGAAACUGGGGCUAAUACCGGAUAGGAGCUCCUGCUGCAUGGUGGGGGUUGGAAAGUUUCGGCGGUUGGGGAUGGACUCGCGGCUUAUCAGCUUGUUGGUGGGGUAGUGGCUUACCAAGGCUUUGACGGGUAGCCGGCCUGAGAGGGUGACCGGCCACAUUGGGACUGAGAUACGGCCCAGACUCCUACGGGAGGCAGCAGUGGGGAAUAUUGCACAAUGGGCGGAAGCCUGAUGCAGCAACGCCGCGUGCGGGAUGACGGCCUUCGGGUUGUAAACCGCUUUCGCCUGUGACGAAGCGUGAGUGACGGUAAUGGGUAAAGAAGCACCGGCUAACUACGUGCCAGCAGCCGCGGUGAUACGUAGGGUGCGAGCGUUGUCCGGAUUUAUUGGGCGUAAAGGGCUCGUAGGUGGUUGAUCGCGUCGGAAGUGUAAUCUUGGGGCUUAACCCUGAGCGUGCUUUCGAUACGGGUUGACUUGAGGAAGGUAGGGGAGAAUGGAAUUCCUGGUGGAGCGGUGGAAUGCGCAGAUAUCAGGAGGAACACCAGUGGCGAAGGCGGUUCUCUGGGCCUUUCCUGACGCUGAGGAGCGAAAGCGUGGGGAGCGAACAGGCUUAGAUACCCUGGUAGUCCACGCUGUAAACGGUGGGUACUAGGUGUGGGGUCCAUUCCACGGGUUCCGUGCCGUAGCUAACGCUUUAAGUACCCCGCCUGGGGAGUACGGCCGCAAGGCUAAAACUCAAAGGAAUUGACGGGGCCCCGCACAAGCGGCGGAGCAUGCGGAUUAAUUCGAUGCAACGCGUAGAACCUUACCUGGGUUUGACAUGGAUCGGGAGUGCUCAGAGAUGGGUGUGCCUCUUUUGGGGUCGGUUCACAGGUGGUGCAUGGCUGUCGUCAGCUCGUAUCGUGAGAUGUUGGGUUAAGUCCCGCAACAAGCGCAACCCUUGUUCACUGUUGCCAGCACGUUAUGGUGGGGACUCAGUGGAGACCGCCGGGGUCAACUCGGAGGAAGGUGGGGAUGACGUCAAGUCAUCAUGCCCCUUAUGUCCAGGGCUUCACGCAUGCUACAAUGGCUGGUACAGAGAGUGGCGAGCCUGUGAGGGUGAGCGAAUCUCGGAAAGCCGGUCUCAGUUCGGAUUGGGGUCUGCAACUCGACCUCAUGAAGUCGGAGUCGCUAGUAAUCGCAGAUCAGCAACGCUGCGGUGAAUACGUUCCCGGGGCU
rnacentral:rRNA from 1 species